rnacentral:snRNA from 1 species
UGUUGAUUGUCUGGUCCCCGG